GAUGAACGCUGGCGGCGUGCCUAAUACAUGCAAGUCGAGCGAACAGAUGAGGAGCUUGCUCCUCUGACGUUAGCGGCGGACGGGUGAGUAACACGUGGAUAACCUACCUAUAAGACUGGGAUAACUACGGGAAACCGGAGCUAAUACCGGAUAAUAUAUUGAACCGCAUGGUUCAAUAGUUAAAGACGGUUUUGCUGUCACUUAUAGAUGGAUCCGCGCCGCAUUAGCUAGUUGGUAAGGUAACGGCUUACCAAGGCAACGAUGCGUAGCCGACCUGAGAGGGUGAUCGGCCACACUGGAACUGAGACACGGUCCAGACUCCUACGGGAGGCAGCAGUAGGGAAUCUUCCGCAAUGGGCGAAAGCCUGACGGAGCAACGCCGCGUGAGUGAUGAAGGUCUUCGGAUCGUAAAACUCUGUUAUUAGGGAAGAACAAAUGUGUAAGUAACUAUGCACGUCUUGACGGUACCUAAUCAGAAAGCCACGGCUAACUACGUG
rnacentral:rRNA from 1 species